rnacentral:rRNA from 1 species
UCCUGGGGUCAAGCAGCCCAUCAAUGGGUUUACAUGCGUGCCCUCUUUUGGAACAUCCGCGGCUUCGGCCAUGACGGCCGCCGCCGCCAACUAGUAGAGUACAUGUGCGACGAACACAUCAACAUCAUUGCCAUACAAGAAACCAUGCGCACAGAGUUCUGUCUCCCCGAACUUGAGAGCCUUGCCCACCUGUUUGCUUGGCAUUGGCUCCCUUCUAGUGGGAACAAUGGGCACUCGGGUGGCAUCCUGUUAGGUGUGAAGGAUGCCACCUUUGAGGUGGGUGGUAUGGACCGGGGCGAGUUCUUCAUUAGUAUGGAGAUCUUCGAGCGGGCGCUCAACUUUAAGUGGGAGGUCAUCAUUGUCUACGGACCGGCAAACCACCACCGCUCCCCGACCUUCCUCGCUGAGCUACAACAAAAGAUCUCUGCCUCCUCCCUCCCAGUGGUCGUGGGAGGUGACUUUAACCUCAUCCGCUCCCCGGAUGAGAAGAGCAAUGACCGGGUCAACCGCCCCUAG